UUACGUGAGUACUGUUGUGGAAUCUCUCUCGAUGUAGUCAUACAAAUCGUCCAAAAUACCAACACACAAAACAGUGUAAUUUUCAUUUUUGAAAAUUAUAAAGACACGAGAAGUAUUAACUGGGCAAACAGUUAAUGUCUUGUUUUUGCUCGUCGUAUGUUAUAUAUGUCUGUAGAACUCUAUCCUGUCUAUCACUAGGUUUUUAGAACUUCUGUUUUAUAUACCCCAGAACCAUUCACCCGUGCGCUCGUAUUUUCCCGAAACUCUCGUGACCAUAUAAUCAUGACGUAGUGGGUGACUUUAACACAUAAACAAAGGUUCAUUUAUCGAGAUAUAGUAUGUCAUCGACAAC
rnacentral:lncRNA from 1 species